rnacentral:piRNA from 1 species
GGGGAGUGGGGGUAAGGGGAGGGAUA